ensembl:piRNA 21ur-6509 ncRNA
UGGACAGUUUUGAAAAAAUUU